UAUCUCUGUAGAGUCUGCAUAUCAAUAAGCGGAGGAAAAGAAACUAACAAGGAUUCCCCUAGUAACGGCGAGUGAAGCGGGAAGAGCUCAAAUUUGAAAUCUUCAAGGUUUGACCUUGACGAAUUGUAGUUUAAAGAAGUGUUUUCGGUUAGAGGAGUAGUAAAAGUUCUUUGGAAUAGGACAUCAUAGAGGGUGAGAAUCCCGUAUUUGACUAUUCUUUCUAGCUUUGUGAUACACUUUCAAAGAGUCGGAUUGUUUGGGAAUGCAGUCCAAAAUGGGUGGUAAAUUUCAUCUAAAGCUAAAUAUUGGCGAGAGACCGAUAGCGAACAAGUACCGUGAGGGAAAGAUGAAGAGAACUUUGAAAAGAGAGUUAAACAGUACGUGAAAUUGUCAAAAGGGAAGCGUUUGACACCAGUGUUGUUUUUCCGAAAAUCAAUUAAAAAUUGAUUCAUGCCAGGUUGUAUUGACCUUAUCAGCUUGCAAUUUGGUUUUGGGUCUCUUUUUGAUGCACUUUUCGGUUAACAAGUCAACAUCAAUUUCCUUUGCUGUAAAAAGGUAAGAGGAAGGUGGCUUCAAUUUCGGUUGAAGUGUUUAUAGCCCUUUAUCUCUGCAGUCGGGGAGAUUGAGGUCUGCAGCGUAGAUCCUUCGGGGCUAGAUACAUCUAUGCUAAGUUAUAGCUUUUCAUAGACAACUUGUUGACUAUGUUUAGUCAUGUAGCUUACUCGUAAGUGCUAUUUUACCUACGCUUAGGAUGUUGAAGACUCUACAGAGAUA
rnacentral:rRNA from 1 species